AAAUUGCGUGGGUCCGCAGUGGCCAGCGUGCACUGCCAUGCCGCACAAGCCAAGCAUCAUGGCAGAAGACCGCCGAGCGGCACUCCCCUCUAUCUUCGGAAGGUAAUUAUCUCUGUUUUUGCCACAAGGAUAUGAAGGAUAUGUGACAGCAUACCCUUAGUUCUUAAUACGGUGUAUUGUCCCAUAGAGCAUCAAUGACAGCAUGCAGCAUUUUGUAAUAGUUGUCUAUAAGGCCCUUAAUAAUUGCAGGUGGUAUAGAUGCCCAUUCGUCUUUGCAAAAUACAUCCAGGUCAUGCAAAGUCUUUGGUGGUCUUGCAUGAACCACAUGUAUGAGAUCUUCCCAGAGUGGCUCGAUAUUAAGGUCAGGAGACUAUGAUGGCCACUGCAGAACCUUCAUGUUUUUCUGCUGUGAUCACUGGAGGGUCAUCUUGGCCUUUUACUUAGGGUCAUUGUCAUGCUGGAAAGUCCAAGAGUGUCCCAUGCACAGCCUUCGUGCAGAAGAAUGCAAAUUAUCUGC